AGAGUGAACGCUGGCGGCAUGCCUAACACAUGCAAGUCGAACGGUAACAGGCCCGCAAGGGUGCUGACGAGUGGCGGACGGGUGAGGAAUACAUCGGAAUCUGCCCGGUUGUGGGGGAUAACGUAGGGAAACUUACGCUAAUACCGCAUACGACCGAGAGGUGAAAGCGGGGGACUCGCAAGAGCCUCGCGCGAUCGGAUGAGCCGAUGUCGGAUUAGCUAGUUGGCGGGUAAAGGCCCACCAAGGCGACGAUCCGUAGCUGGUCUGAGAGGAUGAUCAGCCACACUGGGACUGAGACACGGCCCAGACUCCUACGGGAGGCAGCAGUGGGGACUAUUGGACAAUGGGGGCAACCCUGAUCCAGCCAUGCCGCGUGAUUGAUGAAGGCCUUCGGGUUGUAAGCUCUUUGGCGGGGACGAUGAUGACGGUACCCGCAGAAUAAGCCCCGGCUAACUUCGUGCCAGCAGCCGC
rnacentral:rRNA from 1 species